CCUGGCUCAGGAUGAACGCUAGCGGCAGGCUUAACACAUGCAAGUCGAGGGGCAGCGGGAUGUAGCAAUACAUUGCCGGCGACCGGCGGGAUGGGUGCGUAACGCGUAUGCAACCUACCUUAUACAGGGGAAUAACCUUUCGAAAGGGAGACUAACACCCCAUAGUAUUGAUUUAAGGCAUCUUAGAUUAAUUAAAUAUUUAUAGGUAUAAGAUGGGCAUGCGUAUGAUUAGCUAGUUGGUAAGGUAACGGCUUACCAAGGCGACGAUCAUUAGGGGUUCUGAGAGGAAGGUCCCCCACACUGGUACUGAGACACGGACCAGACUCCUACGGGAGGCAGCAGUGAGGAAUAUUGGUCAAUGGGCGCAAGCCUGAACCAGCCAUGCCGCGUGCAGGAAAGACGGCCUUAUGGGUUGUAAACUGCUUUUACAUAAGACUAACCGUAUAUUUGCGAAUAUACCUGAAUGUAUUAUGAGAAUAAGGAUCGGCUAACUCCGUGCCAGCCGCAGC
rnacentral:rRNA from 1 species